ACUAUUUUGACAGAAAUAAUGUGAUGAUUUUAGAAGUCAUAAAUAUAUAAAAAUGUUAUAUAGAUAGUA
rnacentral:tRNA from 1 species